rnacentral:tRNA from 1 species
GCCUGGGUGGCUCAGUUGGUUGAGCAUCAGACUCUUGAUUUCAUCUUGGGUUAUGAUCUCCCAGAUCGUGGAUUCGAGCCCCAUGUCAGGCU